rnacentral:rRNA from 1 species
AACGUAGGACACAAGCGUUAUCCGGAGUUACUGGGCGUAAAGGGCGUGCAGGCGGUGAAGUAAGUGAGGCGUGAAAGGCCUCGGCUAAACCGGGGUAAGUCGUCUGAGACUGCUUCACUAGAGGAUGGUAGAGGCGUGUAGAAUUCCGGGUGUAGUGGUGAAAUGCGUAGAGAUCCGGAGGAAUACCAGUGGCGAAGGCGGCACGCUGGGCCAUUACUGACGCUAAGACGCGAAAGCAUGGGUAGCGAACGGG